AGGCAAGACACGAGAAACAUAAACAAGUUCUGCAAUGGGUCCCUGGAAGAGGGGGGCCAGUGUGGUGGCUGGAGUCAGGCUGUGUCACCUGUGCACGAGGACCGGGAUGGAUUUAAACUAUUCUGCCCCUAGAAUAUAAAAUGGGGUGGCCGCUCCGAAAAACAUUGCACAUGUGGUCCGGCCAUUCCUCUUCUAGGUACAGACUCAAAAGAAUUGAAUGCAGGGACUUAAAUGGGUAUUUGAACAGCCACGUUCACAAUAGCCUAAAGGUAGAAGCAAGACAAGAGUCCCUGGACAGAUGAAUGACUAAGCACAAUGUGGAAUAUGCACACAGUGGGAUAUCAUUCAGCCUUUAAAAAGUAGGCAAUUGUGACACCUGCUCCAAUACGGAUGUACCUUGAGUACAUUACUCUGCGUGAAAUAAGCAAGACAUAAAAGGACAGAUACGAUAAUGAUCCCACUUCUACGAGGUAAUUUUCACAACCACCUUCAGAGAGAUUAAGCAACUUUCCCAAGUUCACCAAGCCAGGAAGGAGGAAUUUGAACCCAGGUGUCCAGGGGCACAACUCAUCGCUUCCCAGGCUGAGAAGAGUAAUGUGGCAGCAGCUUGAAAAGGCGAACCUGCAGGUGC